rnacentral:rRNA from 1 species
GUGCACGCUGGCGGUAGGCCUAACACAUGCAAGUCGAACGGCAGCACAGUAAGAGCUUGCUCUUACGGGUGGCGAGUGGCGGACGGGUGAGGAAUACAUCGGAAUCUACUUUUUCGUGGGGGAUAACGUAGGGAAACUUACGCUAAUACCGCAUACGACCUACGGGUGAAAGCAGGGGAUCUUCGGACCUUGCGCGAUUGAAUGAGCCGAUGUCGGAUUAGCUAGUUGGCGGGGUAAAGGCCCACCAAGGCGACGAUCCGUAGCUGGUCUGAGAGGAUGAUCAGCCACACUGGAACUGAGACACGGUCCAGACUCCUACGGGAGGCAGCAGUGGGGAAUAUUGGACAAUGGGCGCAAGCCUGAUCCAGCCAUACCGCGUGGGUGAAGAAGGCCUUCGGGUUGUAAAGCCCUUUUGUUGGGAAAAAAAAGCAGCAGGUUAAUACCCCGCUGUUCUGACGGUACCCAAAGAAUAAGCACCGGCUAACUUCGUG